GAUGAAGAACGUAGCGAAAUGCGAUAAGUAGUGUGAAUUGCAGAAUUCCGUGAAUCAUCGAAUCUUUGAACGCACAUUGCGCCUUCUGGUAUUCCGGAAGGCAUGCCUGUUCGAGAGUCAUUAACAACCGUUUCGAUCCCUUUCUUUCAGAAAUUACAAAGAGGAAAAGGGUUUGGUUAUGGUGGAGGCGGGAAAGGGAGCGUUUAGCCUGUAAAAAAAGAGGCUGUGUUCCGCCUCCCCCCCAAAAUUGUACAGGCGGUCGUGUGCGCCCACGCAUCGAGGUGUUGUAAAAGCUGCCACGGCACUUUUCACCUGUGCAGUGCGAGAUUGGCCAGCCGGUUUAAAAACCCCUCCAAACAAUCAAAGGUUGACCUCGGAUCAGGUAGGGAUACCCGCUGAACUUAAGCAUAUCAAUAAGCGGAGGA
rnacentral:misc_RNA from 1 species